CGCCGCCCGCUCCCCCCUCCCCGGCGCUGGGAGGCGACCCCCGGCGCGCCCCAGGUUCAAAGGCCCCGCGCGGCAGCCCCAGCCCCUCCGGGGGGCGGGGAGGCGAGGGGGUGGUGCGGGCGCCAGAAAAGCCCGAGCCCACAGCCGGCCCGGCGCGGCGAUGGGCAGCGCGCUCUGACGCGUGUGAGCGGCGCAGCCAACUCCCGGCCGGGGCGCGGGGCGCAGCGAGCGAGCGAGCGAGCGAGCGAGCGCCGGCCUCGGACCCCGCGGCCGGAGGGCGAGGCCGCCGCGCCGGGCCCAGCGCCCUUUCUCGGCCACAGGCGUCCGUGCCCCCGGCCCGGUGCCCCGCGCCCGAUCGGGGUUCAUGGAGCUGGGGCUGUGGCUCCUGUUCGGGCUCACGGUGACCUCCGCCGCAGGAUUGGUGCCUCGCCCCCAGCCUGGGGACGCUGGCAGGAGCGGCGUGCCUGGGGCCCCGCCUGCAGCCAGAUCCGAGGGGGACAUCGAGGACGCGGUGGCCACUACAGCAGUGCAGAGUCCAAGUCCCAGAAGCCCUGGGCAGGACCAGGAGCCAGGGCGGUUUGGGGAACAGGCCCCCGAGGGGGGUCCUGUGCACCCCCGAGCGAGGCGCUGCACGUGUUUCACCUACAAGGACAAGGAGUGCGUCUACUAUUGCCACCUGGACAUCAUCUGGAUCAACACUCCUGAACGGACCGUGCCCUAUGGACUGUCCAACUACAGAGAAAGCUUCCGGAGCAAGAGGUCCGCGGGGCCGUUCCCGCAGAGCCCACAGCCGUCCAAGCGGACGCUGCGCUGCGCUUGUGUGCGGAGUCGGGACAGCGCCUGCCUGCACUUCUGUACCCGCACCCUGGCCGUCAGCAGGAACUCAAGGACAGCAGAAAAUCCUGACGAUGAGGAACAGCCAGCCGGCGGUGCCGAUGGAGGCCUGCGUCCGAGGAGCAAAGAUGUGUGGUGCACCUGCGACAUGCCGGGCAGCGCUCUGGAAGUCGGGGACGCGGGAGGGGACGAGGCGGAGGGGCUGCGUUUGCGGAACUUACAGAAUGUGGGGAGCUGACCGCAGACAAAUACACUCGUCCCCCCUCCCCCAUGGGGGCUUCGUUCCAGAUGGACCGCGGACACGCCCAUAGAUAGGCUGAAGUCCGGGACCGACCAAGCGAGCAGGCCUUAGGCCUCUGGCAUCACGUGCUUGCCCGGCGGUGGGCCCCCCGCGCUCUGCCUCCCCCUCUGCUGUGUCAGGAACCCCUGCGGACACAGGCCAGCAGCACCCCAUCUCUGGGAGGCCUCAGUUUCCGCUCCUUCCCGGUUCACGUUCCCAGCCUCUUGGAGGACCAGGAAUGAGUUUUGCCUGGUGGGGGGAAAACCCACUCAGAAGGCCCACGCUUAACAGUACACCCCUCACCCAAGAAUGCCCCAGCCCCAACGACCCGGUUUCUCUAAUGGGUAAAAUGAUCCCAGAUGUGCCCCAGAGCCUGACGCCCGCGGCUUGGGUUUCAGGCAGGAAAUUGUUUUUGGAGCGCCGUGGCACAUCCAGCCGCUUGCUGGCUUUUGCUUCUCUUGGAGUAUAAGUGGGCUCCAGGCUGACUUUGCAAACGUAAACACGCGUCCCUUACAACCGAUGCGGCGGGAGCAUGCGACGCUCCCAUCCUGACAUCCAGAAGGCACGCGCUGUGGGCUAGGGAGGGCGCCAGGCGUCGAUUUUGAAUGCGGAGCGUAGCUUUGCAGGAGUUGAGGACUUUGAAGCUUCUAGGAGGAUUUAGACAGCGAUUUUCAGGUGUGCACGGUACCCACUAAAAGAAUGUAUCUUUGAGAAAGAGAGGACGAGAGAAAAAAGAAACCUUGAUGUUUGUGACGAGGAAAGAAGAACACGAGUAUGUGUGGGCUUUGAACCCCGACACGUGCGGCUGCGAGCCUGUCCUCGAUCAGGUGCCCUUCUGAGCCCUCUGCGGACAGGCAGGCCAGGCACUUCCCAGAGAGCCACAGUAAAAGCCGCCGGCCUCCCCUCCAGGCCAUUUGGGUGAAUAUUCGCUUUCAUGAACAAAUGUGGAUCUUUGGGGAACGGCUUCAAAAUAAGCCACAAAUGCAAACUCUUUGUAAAUUAUGUAAAUUCCUAUUUAUCUAUGUAAUUGGCAACCACUGGGGAUUGUAACGCCCCACAGGUCACGAUCUGUUUCCGCUGUGCUUUUUACGGCCGGCCCAAGAUUGCCGUGCGUAUCCGGCAAAGUAUUUGGUGCCAACGUCAUUGAUGCAGACGCCCCCCCACCCCACACACACACCCCCGCCCCCAGCUGGCAGAGAGAUGAGAACCCACAUGGGAGGCAUGCCCAGGUCACCACGCGGGAAAAUUUAAGGUGGUGAACGACAGAGCGUUGGCGUUGACCAAAUGCUAAAUUCUGCGUGCGUUAUUUCAUGAGCUCUUACAGAUAGAAAAGGGAGUACCUAUCACCCGGAAAAGGAGGGCAGUGCUUUGCUAGCAGGAAUGUGUACAGUUUAGAGAAGCAACUAUUUAUUGUGAAACUCUUUAUUUCGAUUCCUUUAUGUGGAUCUGUUCAAAGUAAAGCCACUGUGUAUAUAUAGACCGAUUUUAAAUUGUGUUCUGGAUCCAAACGCAUAUUCCUUAGAGCUUGAGUUCCAUUUUUAAAACGCAUAGGCACCGUUUGGCUCUGUGGCAGGAUGCUAUCUUGGAGAGAAAUUCAUCCGUUGUGCUAACACUCAGAAAAUACUGUCAAAUGCAUAAUAAAAAAAAAAAUCUAGAAGUUUGCUCUGAUUUGUGGGUUCUUCUCGCUGGUGUUAUAUGCCUGGUUACACAUCAACUUUUCAUGGACCUCUGGAGAGCAUGGAGGGAGUUAUAGUCCAGGAAGUAGAAUCCAUCCAAAGUCAAUUAUGGAGGGAGGCAAACAAGCGCUGCUUGGAUUUUAAGGAAGGAGCGGGAUUUGGGGACCAUCCGAGGAAGAGAAACAACCCAAGGCAGUUUCGGAAGAGAGAAAUUUGGGGAGAGAACUGGCUCCUUCCUCUGGCACCUGUCCCGUUCACCUUGGUGGCACCGCAGAGGCCAUGGGAAUGCCAGAACAGGAGUCCGGGGACAGAGCGGUCACGGUCAGCAACCUGCAGUCGACCUUCUCAGCCUUUCAGAUGGGCAUUGUCUUUUGCUUUGCUGCUCAC